UAUACUGCAAGUCGAGCGAAUGGAUUAAGAGCUUGCUCUUAUGAAGUUAGCGGCGGACGGGUGAGUAACACGUGGGUAACCUGCCCAUAAGACUGGGAUAACUCCGGGAAACCGGGGCUAAUACCGGAUAACAUUUUGAACCGCAUGGUUCGAAAUUGAAAGGCGGCUUCGGCUGUCACUUAUGGAUGGACCCGCGUCGCAUUAGCUAGUUGGUGAGGUAACGGCUCACCAAGGCAACGAUGCGUAGCCGACCUGAGAGGGUGAUCGGCCACACUGGGACUGAGACACGGCCCAGACUCCUACGGGAGGCAGCAGUAGGGAAUCUUCCGCAAUGGACGAAAGUCUGACGGAGCAACGCCGCGUGAGUGAUGAAGGCUUUCGGGUCGUAAAACUCUGUUGUUAGGGAAGAACAAGUGCUAGUUGAAUAAGCUGGCACCUUGACGGUACCUAACCAGAAAGCCACGGCUAACUACGUGCCAGCAGCCGCGGUAAUACGUAGGUGGCAAGCGUUAUCCGGAAUUAUUGGGCGUAAAGCGCGCGCAGGUGGUUUCUUAAGUCUGAUGUGAAAGCCCACGGCUCAACCGUGGAGGGUCAUUGGAAACUGGGAGACUUGAGUGCAGAAGAGGAAAGUGGAAUUCCAUGUGUAGCGGUGAAAUGCGUAGAGAUAUGGAGGAACACCAGUGGCGAAGGCGACUUUCUGGUCUGUAACUGACACUGAGGCGCGAAAGCGUGGGGAGCACACAGGAUUAGAUACCCUGGUAGUCCACGCCGUAAACGAUGAGUGCUAAGUGUUAGAGGGUUUCCGCCCUUUAGUGCUGAAGUUAACGCAUUAAGCACUCCGCCUGGGGAGUACGGCCGCAAGGCUGAAACUCAAAGGAAUUGACGGGCGCCCGCACAAGCGGUGGAGCAUGUGUUUUAAUUCAAAUCAACGCGAAGAACCUUACCAGGUCUUGACA
rnacentral:rRNA from 1 species